AUUGAACGCUAGCGGGAUGCCUUACACAUGCAAGUCGAACGAGUGGCGAACGGGUGAGUAAUGUCUGGGAAACUGCCUGCUGGAGGGGGAUAACUACUGGAAACGGUAGCUAAUACCGCAUACCAUCAGAUGUGCCCAGAUGGGAUUAGCUAGUAGGUGGGGUAACGGCUCACCUAGGCGACGAUCCCUAGCUGGUCUGAGAGGAUGACCAGCCAAAUGGGAACUGAGACACGUUCCAGACUCCUACGGGAGGCAGAAGUGGGGAAUAUUGCACAAUGGGCGCAAGCCUGAUGCAGCCAUGCCGCGUGUGUGAGGAAGGCCUUCGGGUUGUAAAGCACUUUCAGCGGGGAGGCGUUACCCGCAGAAGAAGCACCGGCUAACUCCGUGCCAGCCGCCGCGGUAAUAC
rnacentral:rRNA from 1 species